UGCAGUCGACGGUAACAUUUCUAGCUUGCUAGAAGAUGACGAGUGGCGGACGGGUGAGUAAUGCUUGGGAACUUGCCUUUGCGAGGGGGAUAACAGUUGGAAACGACUGCUAAUACCGCAUAAUGUCUUCGGACCAAACGGGGCUUCGGCUCCGGCGCAAAGAGAGGCCCAAGUGAGAUUAGCUAGUUGGUAAGGUAACGGCUUACCAAGGCGACGAUCUCUAGCUGUUCUGAGAGGAAGAUCAGCCACACUGGGACUGAGACACGGCCCAGACUCCUACGGGAGGCAGCAGUGGGGAAUAUUGCACAAUGGGGGAAACCCUGAUGCAGCCAUGCCGCGUGUGUGAAGAAGGCCUUCGGGUUGUAAAGCACUUUCAGUUGUGAGGAAAAGUUAGUAGUUAAUACCUGCUAGCCGUGACGUUAACAACAGAAGAAGCACCGGCUAACUCCGUGCCAGCAGCCGCGGUAAUACGGAGGGUGCGAGCGUUAAUCGGAAUUACUGGGCGUAAAGCGCACGCAGGCGGUUUGUUAAGCUAGAUGUGAAAGCCCCGGGCUCAACCUGGGAUGGUCAUUUAGAACUGGCAGACUAGAGUCUUGGAGAGGGGAGUGGAAUUCCAGGUGUAGCGGUGAAAUGCGUAGAUAUCUGGAGAACAUCAGUGGCGAAGGCGACUCCCUGGCCAAAGACUGACGCUCAUGUGCGAAAGUGUGGGUAGCGAACAGGAUUAGAUACCCUGGUAGUCCACACCGUAAACGCUGUCUACUAGCUGUGUGUGUCUUUAAGACGUGCGUAGCGAAGCUAACGCGCUAAGUAGACCGCCUGGGGGAGUACCGCCCGCGAGGGAUAAAACUCAAAUGGAAUUGACGGGGGCC
rnacentral:rRNA from 1 species